GCUCCGUGUUUGCUGCGGAGGCGCCUUCGCUCUGGGAACUUGUUCUGUCACCGAGUGCGCCCGGCUGGCCUCUUUGACCCUCUUGGUAUCGGGUGGGCGGCAUCUUGGGUGGCUGGGGUCUGGGACGCCACUUUUCUGGACGCUCCUCGGCUAAGAAGAAGGGCGCGGUUGGAAACCACAUACCCGAAAGGUGGAAAGACUAUCUCCCAGUUGGACAGCGGAUGCCUGGGACUCGGUUCAUUGCUUUCCAAGUUCCUUUGCAAAAGAGUUUUGAAGAGAAAUUUGCUCCAGAAGAACGCUUUUCCCCUUUGAAUCGUUUUAACAAAACCCGAGAACCAAAUGAAGAACUAGGACUGAUAAUUGAUUUAACAUAUACUCAACGGUAUUAUAAGCCAGAGGUAAACAGAACCCUUCAUUGAAAAGAACUUUCUUCAUUCUAAUACUAAAAAAAUUCAUGGUAAUUCAGCAGUAAUUCAGAAGUUGUCAUCUUGUGCUAAUGUUAAGGCCGGCCUUCUUUCCUGGGUGAUAAUUUUAAUAAGCGAACCAAAUGGUUUCCUUAAUUAAAUAUUUUUAAUUGCUGACUUAAA